rfam:Camelus ferus unplaced genomic scaffold scaffold623, whole genome shotgun sequence.
GAGGGUAUAGUUCAGUGGUAGAGUGUGUCUUACCAUGCACGAGAUCCUGGGUUCAAUCCCCAGUGCCUCUA